AUUGAACGCUGGCGGCAGGCCUAACACAUGCAAGUCGAACGGUAACAGGAAGAAGCUUGCUUCUUUGCUGUCGCGUGGCGGGCGGGUGUGUAAUGUCUGUGAAACUGCCUGAUGGCGGGGGAUAACUACUGGAAACGGUAGCUAAUACCGCAUAACUUCGCAAGACCAAAGAGGGGGACUUUCGGGCCUCUUGCCAUCCGCUUAUCCCGGAUGGGAUUAGCUAGUAGGUGGGGUAACGGCUUACCUAGGCGACGAUCCGUAGCUGGUCUGAGAGGGUGACCAGCCACACUGGAACUGAGACACGGUCCAGACUCCUACGGGAGGCAGCAGUAGGGAAUAUUGCGCAAUGGGCGCAAGCCUGAUGGAGCAACGCCGCGUGUGUGAUGAAGGUCUUCGGAUUGUAAAGUACUGUUAGUAGGGAAGAAGGAAGGAGAGUGAAAAUCUGCACGCAUUGACGUUACCCGCAGAGAAAGCAACGGCUAACUACGUG
rnacentral:rRNA from 1 species